CACAGACAAUCACAAUCCCAUGAAGCCCACCAACCUUGCCGGGGAACUUUCUUAUUGCAGGAUCAUGGGCUAAUGAUGUUCGCUGCUGGGAAGUUCAAGACAGUGGACAGACCAUUCCAAAAGCCCAGCAGAUGCACACUGGGCCUGUGCUCGAUGUCUGCUGGAGUGACGAUGGGAGCAAAGUAUUUACGGCAUCGUGUGAUAAAACUGCCAAAAUGUGGGACCUCAGCAGUAACCAAGCAAUACAGAUCGCACAGCAUGAUGCUCCUGUUAAAACCAUCCAUUGGAUCAAAGCUCCAAACUACAGCUGUGUGAUGACUGGGAGCUGGGAUAAGACUUUAAAGGUAU
rnacentral:lncRNA from 1 species